rnacentral:rRNA from 1 species
AGCGAACGCUGGCGGCAGGCUUAACACAUGCAAGUCGAGCGGGCACUUUCGGGUGUCAGCGGCGGACGGGUGAGUAACGCGGGGGAACGUGCCCUCUGGUUCGGAAUAACUCAGGGAAACUUGAGCUAAUACCGGAUACGCCCUUUUGGGGAAAGGCUUGCUGCCGGAGGAUCGGCCCGCGUCUGAUUAGCUAGGUGGUGAGGUAACGGCUCACCAAGGCGACGAUCAGUAGCUGGUCUGAGAGGAUGAUCAGCCACACUGGGACUGAGACACGGCCCAGACUCCUACGGGAGGCAGCAGUGGGGAAUAUUGGACAAUGGGCGCAAGCCUGAUCCAGCCAUGCCGCGUGAGUGAUCAAGGCCUUAGGGUUGUAAAGCUCUUUUAUCCGGGACGAUAAUGACGGUACCGGAGGAAUAAGCCCCGGCUAACUUCGUG